CUGGAGACCGAGGAGAGCAUGGAGGCCGAGGUGCACCUGGCGGCAGAGGUCCGAAAGGACUAAGAGGUGAUUUAGGUGACUGUGGAUGUAUUGCUAGUCCAAUGCCCGGCGAUCCCGGACCUAAGGGUUUUCAAGGGCAGAGAGGUAACCCGGGUGACCUAGGAGCCCCAGGCGACAAUGGCAAUCCCGGCUUUCCUGGUGAUCUGGGUGCGGUCGGUCCAGCCGGCAUUCCUGGAUAUCGAGGUGGCACAGGUGAAAAGGGUCAGAAAGGUGACCCGUACAUCAUAGACACUCCAGGUAUACACACCUGUAGAUAUCCGUACACUCUCACACUUUGCCAUACCUUUCUGUGGAUAUGUAAACUCUGUACAUUUAUAUCUGUGCUUAUAUGUGAACAAUUCAGACCUUUUCAACAAGGCAUCACAAAUGAUGUGUGAUGUUUUUAUUUACACACACACACACACACACACACACACAAAUAUGCCUAUGCAUUCACUUUACUCUGAUUGGUGGAUUCUACUCUAUGCUCAGGUUCAGGUCCAAAAGGUGACCGUGGGCCCAGAGGACGGCCAGGCCGCCCAGGAUACACAGGCAUGUCAGGGAUCAAGGGCAGUGACGGAGUGCCUGGACCACAGGGGCUUCUAGUAA
rnacentral:lncRNA from 1 species